rnacentral:rRNA from 1 species
GGCGUGCUUAACACAUGCAAGUCGAACGGAAAGGCCCUGCUUUUGUGGGGUGCUCGAGUGGCGAGCGGGUGAGUAACACGUGAGUAACCUGCCCUUGACUUUGGGAUAACUUCAGGAAACUGGGGCUAAUACCGGAUAGGAGCUCCUGCUGCAUGGUGGGGGUUGGAAAGUUUCGGCGGUUGGGGAUGGACUCGCGGCUUAUCAGCUUGUUGGUGGGGUAGUGGCUUACCAAGGCUUUGACGGGUAGCCGGCCUGAGAGGGUGACCGGCCACAUUGGGACUGAGAUACGGCCCAGACUCCUACGGGAGGCAGCAGUGGGAAUAUUGCACAAUGGGCGGAAGCCUGAUGCAGCAACGCCGCGUGCGGGAUGACGGCCUUCGGGUUGUAAACCGCUUUCGCCUGUGACGAAGCGUGAGUGACGGUAAUGGGUAAAGAAGCACCGGCUAACUACGUGCCAGCAGCCGCGGUGAUACGUAGGGUGCGAGCGUUGUCCGGAUUUAUUGGGCGUAAAGGGCUCGUAGGUGGUUGAUCGCGUCGGAAGUGUAAUCUUGGGGCUUAACCCUGAGCGUGCUUUCGAUACGGGUUGACUUGAGGAAGGUAGGGGAGAAUGGAAUUCCUGGUGGAGCGGUGGAAUGCGCAGAUAUCAGGAGGAACACCAGUGGCGAAGGCGGUUCUCUGGGCCUUUCCUGACGCUGAGGAGCGAAAGCGUGGGGAGCGAACAGGCUUAGAUACCCUGGUAGUCCACGCUGUAAACGGUGGGUACUAGGUGUGGGGUCCAUUCCACGGGUUCCGUGCCGUAGCUAACGCUUUAAGUACCCCGCCUGGGGAGUACGGCCGCAAGGCUAAAACUCAAAGGAAUUGACGGGGCCCCGCACAAGCGGCGGAGCAUGCGGAUUAAUUCGAUGCAACGCGUAGAACCUUACCUGGGUUUGACAUGGAUCGGGAGUGCUCAGAGAUGGGUGUGCCUCUUUUGGGGUCGGUUCACAGGUGGUGCAUGGCUGUCGUCAGCUCGUGUCGUGAGAUGUUGGGUUAAGUCCCGCAACGAGCGCAACCCUUGUUCACUGUUGCCAGCACGUUAUGGUGGGGACUCAGUGGAGACCGCCGGGGUCAACUCGGAGGAAGGUGGGGAUGACGUCAAGUCAUCAUGCCCCUUAUGUCCAGGGCUUCACGCAUGCUACAAUGGCUGGUACAGAGAGUGGCGAGCCUGUGAGGGUGAGCGAAUCUCGGAAAGCCGGUCUCAGUUCGGAUUGGGGUCUGCAACUCGACCUCAUGAAGUCGGAGUCGCUAGUAAUCGCAGAUCAGCAACGCUGCGGUGAAUACGUUCCCGGGGCUUGUACACACCGCCCGUCAAGUCAUGAAAGUUGGUAACACCCGAAGCCGGUGGCCUAACCGUUGUGGGGGAGCCGUCGAAGGUGGGACUGGUGAUUAGGACUAAGUA